GCGCACUGUGUGGUGGGAGGCUCAGUGAGGCCGCGCUGGCAAACGUCUGCUGCACAAGACGAUACAGGUAACGGAUCUGAAGGCUGAGGGACUGUGUUCAGUUAUGGGUGACGGCGCAGUGGAUGUAGUGGAAGAGACGACAGAGUCCCUGGAGUCGGUGCUGCAGAGCCUGCGGUGCCCCGGCUCGUGCGGCCGGCUGAUGGCGGCGCCCAUCCGGCUGUGCACGGAGGGCCACAGCGUGUGCGCGCGCCACCACCGCGGCGCCUGCCCGCUCUGCGGAGACCUGGUGCUCGAGCUGCGCGACUCGCGGCUCGAGGCGGUGGCGCGCGCCGUGCGCGACGCGCCCUGCCAGAACCGCGCGCGCGGCUGCCAGUACCGCGCAGGCCUCGACGCGCUCGUGCGCCACCAGCGCUGCUGCGACGCGCGCCUCGCGCCGUGCGCGCUCCCUGGAUGUGCGUGGCGCGCGCCCCCCCACCACCUGGCCGCGCACAUCGCCGACGCGCACGCUGACCGCGCACUGCCCGCCGGCUGCCACCUGGACGCGGGCGCACUGCUGCGCGUCGAUCGCGGCCACCGGCUCGUCGUCGCCGACUCUGGAGAUGUCUUCGUCUUCCGCUACCGGCUCGACUCGGGCGGCGCGCGCCUGCUCGCCGCACUGCACUACGUCGGCCUCCACGAGAACGCCUCCAACUUCCGCUUCAGCUUCGAAUUGACGUCUGCAGCGGGCACGGUCAGGCAAGUGCUGCCCGUCGCACCGGCGCCCGAAGACGAACCUCUCCUGGAGGACGAGCCCUUCUGCCUGGAGAAGAGUGCUAUAGUGGAAGGUGAAGAGCUGCUCAGAAUUCUCAAUGACGCCGAUGUCAAAUGUGUUGUCAGAGUGAGGCAGGUGAAAUGCCUCAGUGCUCUUCCCAGCAGAAGGACUUCUGUGCCCUGGUUCUGAUGACAGCGGUCAAACACAUAAUAACUUUUGAAUACAUUAUGGGAGUGACAGUGAUGAAUACUGUUUUUGAUAGUAAAGACCUAAUAACUAUCAGAGUGAGUUAUACCUCUGAUUCCAUUAUGUCACCUGGAGUUAUCGUACCAGAUGACUUCUUAAUCAGUAAUAUCUCAAAUAACAGAUUUCCUCUAUUUUUACAACAUGAAGAAUGCUCAGUUAUCUGGUAAUGUACUCAGUUUGAGAUGCGAUAUGCAGUUAUGUAUUUAUUUGCGAUAUUUGCAGUAGGAAUAAUAUGAAUGAAGGAUGCGAAACAUCUCCUUCUUUUCCUCACUACAGGAUGAUUCAUUUGAAGCUAGCCAUAGCUCCUAUGCAAGUCGCAAUAUCUUCAAAGUAUGCACAAAAUUUUCAUAUUCUCCUGCAUCCAAACUAUUAGUGCUAUAGUAACUUUUUGUAGCAAAUUUAAUUAAAUUAAAUUCUGUACUGCAAUACAUUGUAUUAGGGCUUUUCGUAUCAUUGAAUAAAAACAUACAAAAAUGUUUUCCAAAUGCAUUCUCCUUGUAUAACUCGAAAACUGAGGCCCUCAUCGAAAAUGUACCCCCAAUUAAAAAUUGAACUACAGUAAAUUUUUUAUAACGAGGUCCUGUUCAUUUUUUCUGCAGGACUAUUACUUUGUACAUAGUGAGCAAGAGAAUAUGGGAAACUCUCAUGUAUGGAUUAUGUAGGUGUUAUAUUUUUGGUAAAAUCUAUCAGUGGGGUCAGCUGAAUCACCUUGUAUACGCAGGUCAGGCACAGCUCAUAGUUUUAACACUGUGGAAGUUUGCAACAUUUAUUAAUAUGAACUAAAAACUGCAGACAUCGUCUCCAUUUCGCAAUCAACUACCAAACAAUGAUAAAAACUAACGCCAAGAUAAAAUCUACACAAAGCAUAUUUACUCACCAGCAUCGCGUUUCCUGAGAUUGUUAAAUCACCAGUCACAUCUCGUAACAUUUUGAGCAAACUGUACUAAAAAUGACGCCUUUUGAAGAGCUCUUUAAUGCAAUGUAUCACUUAAGCUGCACAUUUUUGUGAUACACAAGAACAAAUACGAAAACCACCAAAUAAGAAUUGUUAGCUAAACUAUAUGCUUUUCUUUUUUUUUCUUUUUUGCAUUUUCAUUCUCCACUUGAAACUGUUAAUGUUUUUUGCAUAUCCAGUAUAAGACAUUUAUGAGUUCGCACUAUGGAACACUAACAUGAUGAAAAGGUUGUUUCUGAACAUUCAUUAAUGACAGAUCAGAGAAUAAUAGAGAUAAACCGAGACAGGGAUUCCAGAGUGAAGGUUCAGUCACUGGGCUGGUCCACUCGUUAUGAGCAGCACAAUCUGAAAAUCGUGGCAGAAGCCACAUCUCCAAAUCGCUACUACAGUGAACUAACUGGCAUAUCAAUGCGUAGCCUACAAGUUCGGGAAAACAUUAGCCUUUAUCGAUAAUUCUAAAAAUGGUGACAACUGUUAUUGAACUCCAUUUAGGAAAUAUUUGAAAUGUAUCCUGAUUGUUGAAAUUCUGUUACAAAAUAUUGAAAAAUAACAAUUUGCCGCAAUAUGCUUGGAGCCUUUAACUAUGAGCUGUGCCUGAUGUAGAUAUAAUCUCGUAGAAUCCUCCUACCAAUAGAAGAGUGUUGUCAUCACAGGUAAUAAAACAGCAGGGCCUGCAAGAUUUUUCUUUGAUGUCAUACUGUAAUACAUUUUCAGCAUGAUGUACUGAUGUGAUGGAAGAUGAAUCUUUCUGUCAGGGUGGCCCUGCUGAAGUCUCCUAGCACUUAUUCUUGAAAUGAUUGUAGAUUAAUGACAGCAUGAUUGGUCUCACAAACACAGAAGAAUUGUAUUGGAAUGGGCUCCAGUUAUGAAGCUUACCUUCUUAUAAUCUGCCAGGUCGUAUUCAAAUAGAGUAAGCAGGCAUCAUGUGUGAUAGAUCAGCAAAACCUAAAAUUUAUCUUUCAUCGGUGUACAUGUUUUCCUAUAGAUGGCAUAGGCAAUAAAAUAACUACUUAUAUUUUAAAGGAGAUGGUAAGAAUAUACAUUAAUAUGUGUGUGUAAAGAUAUAGCCAUAUGAAUUCGUUAAAUUAUUGUAAAAAUCUUGUACUGUACCAAGAAAAUUAAGAAUUUUCUUCCUGAAGGAAAAAUUUCUUUUUUGCAUUUUUUCAGAUGAAUUUUGCUAGUUAAAUAAAUUUUUGCAUUAUCCAUACUAAAUAUGUUAUGAUGUGUAAUGUAAACAAGAGUAAAAUGUAGGAGAAGAGACAGUACUCUAUUCCACUGACAAGCCUGUAAUUAAAUAGCUAUUUGUGUGGUAAACAUGAAAAUAUGGAACCCACUGACAUUUGUACAGUAAUAUUAAAUAGCAACUUCAGUGUUGAAAAACGUAGUUCAUAAGAGCAAUCUCAUGUUCAGGAAUUUGUAUGGCUUCGUGAAAAUUUUUUAUGAAAUUAUAUUUCUGAUGUUGUUGGAUAACAAACCGAUAUUACACUUUAUUUUUCA